rnacentral:rRNA from 1 species
CCGCCGGACCUUACUGCUAUCGGGUUGAGACUAAGCCAUGCAAGUCGUGCGCUCUCUAGCUAUGUUGAGAGCGCGGCGAACAGCUCUGUAACACGUAGUUAACCUGCCCUCGGGAUGGAGAUAACCCCUGGGAAACUGGGAUUAAUAUCCACUAGAUGAUAGUGUUGGAAUGGUUUUCUCGAAAGAAAGAUUUCUGGAUACAUGCUUCCAGUAUCGCCCGAGGAUGGGACUGCGUCCGAUCAGGUUGUUGGCGGGGUAACGGCCCACCAAGCCUAUUACCGGUACGGGCCCUGAGAGGGGGAGCCCGGAGAUGGAAACUGAGACAUUGUUCCAGGCCCUACGGGGCGCAGCAGGCGCGAAACCUCCACAAUGCGCGCAAGCGUGAUGGGGUUAGCCCGAGUGCCGUCCGAUGAGGAUGGCUUUUCCUUGGUGUAAAAAUCCAUGGGAAUAAAGGGGGGGCAAGACUGGUGUCAGCCGCCGCGGUAAUACCAGCCCCCUGAGUGGUAAGGACGAUUAUUUGGCUUAAAGCGUUCGUAGCCGGCUUAGUAAGUCUCCUGUUAAAUCCAAUGAUUCAAUCAUUGACCUGCAAGAGAUACUGCUAUGCUAGAGGACGGGAGAGGUCGACGGUAGUCCAGGGGUAGGGGUGAAAUCCUAUAAUCCUUGGAGGACCACCAGUGGCGAAGGCGGUCGACUAGAACGUGCCUGACGGUGAGGGACGAAAGCUGGGGGAGCGAACCGGAUUAGAUACCCGGGUAGUCCCAGCUGUAAACGAUGCGGGCUAGGUGUAGGGGUAGCUACGAGCUGCUCCUGUGCCGCAGAGAAAUUGUUAAGCCCGCCGCCUGGGGAGUACGAUCGCAAGAUUGAAACUUAAAGGAAUUGGCGGGGGAGCACCACAAGGGGUGAAGGCUGCGGUUUAAUAGGAUUCAACG